rnacentral:lncRNA from 1 species
CAGCAUUUCACUGUGAGGUCUACUACACCUGUUUUAUUCAGCAUUUCACUGUAAGGUCUACUACACCUGUUGUAUUCAGCAUUUCACUGUGAGGUCUACUACACCUGUUGUAUUCAGCAUUUCACUGUGAGGUCUACUACACCUGUUGUAUUCAGCAUUUCACUGUGAGGUCUACCUACACCUGUUGUAUUCUGCAUUUCACUGUAAGGUCUACUACACCUGUUGUAUUCAGCAUUUCACUGUGAGGUCUACUACACCUGUUAUAUUCAGCAUUUCACUGUGAGGUCUACUACACCUGUUGUAUUCAGCAUUUCACUGUAAGGUCUACUACACCUGUUGUAUUCAGCAUUUCACUGUGAGGUCUACUACACCUGUUGUAUUCAGCAUUUCACUGUAAGGUCUACUACACCUGUUGUAUUCAGCAUUUCACUGUGAGGUCUACACCUGUUUUAUUCAGCAUUUCACUGUAAGGUCU